UAAGGCUCCUAUCGAAGCCGUUGUUGCUUUGUUCAGUAGCAUCAAAUGGUCAAAAGGAAGCCAAUAGGAAACCUUUCACUGACGGUCGCUGCACAGUUCACAAAAUAACUGAUGUAGCAACAAUUUUGGGGAAGGACAUUU